AGUAGUCUCGCACAGAUGCAUAUCAAUAAGCGGAGGAAAAGAAACUAACAAGGAUUCCCCUAGUAACGGCGAGUGAAGCGGGAAGAGCUCAGAUUUGAAAUCUUAAAGGGUUUCCCUUUACGAAUUGUAGUUUAAAGAAGUGUUUUCUGUUGAGGUUUUGGUAAAAGUUCUUUGGAAUAGGACAUCAUAGAGGGUGAGAAUCCCGUAUUUGACCUUUACUUUCAACUUUGUGAUACACUUUCAAAGAGUCGGAUUGUUUGGGAAUGCAGUCCAAAAUGGGUGGUAAAUUUCAUCUAAAGCUAAAUAUUGGCGAGAGACCGAUAGCGAACAAGUACCGUGAGGGAAAGAUGAAAAGAACUUUGAAAAGAGAGUUAAACAGUACGUGAAAUUGUCAAAAGGGAAGCGUUUGACACCAGUGUUGUUUUUCUGAAAAUCAAUUAAAGAACUGUUUAUGCUAAGUUGUUUAGACUUUAUCAGCUAACUGUUUAGUUUUGAGCUUUUCUUUAAUGCACUUUUCAGUUAACAAGUCAACAUCAAUUUCUUUUGCUGUAAAAAAGCUUGAGGAAGGUGGCUUGAGAUUCGUCUUAAGUGUUUAUAGCCUCUUGCCUAUGCAGUCGGAGAGAUUGAGGUCUGCAGCGUAGAUCCUUCGGGGCUAAAUGCAUUUGUGCUAAGUUAUAGCAUUUUAUAGACAACUUGUUGACUAUGAUUUGUCUUGUAGCUUACUCGCUUAUGUUAUUUUACCUACGCUUAGGAUGUUGAUCUGUAGUGCGUGCGC
rnacentral:rRNA from 1 species